rfam:Schistosoma mansoni, Puerto Rico, WGS project CABG01000000 data, contig: 0904
CUACCACUGAGGAGUCCCACAAUAGAACGAAACGGCUGUCGAAUAG